UGGGGAAUAUUGGGCAAUGGGCGAAAGCCUGACCCAGCAACGCCGCGUGAAGGAAGAAGGUCUUCGGAUUGUAAACUUUUGUUGUCAGCGAAGAAAAAGGACUGUAACUGACGAGAAAGCCCCGGCUAACUACGUGCCAGCAGCCGCGGUAAUACGUAGGGGGCAAGCGUUGUCCGGAAUUACUGGGCGUAAAGGGCGCGUAGGCGGCAUAUUAAGUUAGAUGUGAAAUUCCCGGGCUUAACCUGGGCGUUGCAUUUAAAACUGAUAAGCUUGAGUGCAGGAGAGGAAAGUGGAAUUCCUAGUGUAGCGGUGAAAUGCGUAGAUAUUAGGAGGAACAUCAGUGGCGAAGGCGACUUUCUGGACUGUAACUGACGCUGAGGCGCGAAAGCGUGGGUAGCAAACAGG
rnacentral:rRNA from 2 species